CCGGGGUUUCCUCCGAAGUAAUCUGGAAGGAAACUAAACACAACGUGUCCUCAUUUCUUCUGUUUCACCUGCACCAUACAGGCUGGAGGAGCAGGAGAAAGUGACACACUGCGUGUUUUAAAUAUCAAGUUGCAGCAACAUCUUUUCAAACAGCUGAACCCCACAGCAGAUGAAAGUAGUGACAGGUUUGGGAAGUUGCAUGGAUACAUUCCAUCAGCGGACUUCACAAGGAGACAUUUUUGUUCAAGAUCAUCAACUGGAACCAAGUGGAUCAAGGUACCUUCAUUUCCCCUAAAGAUAUGAGGCACAAAACCAUAACCCUGUGGAAGGGGGAAGGACCUAGUCUGUGUGUCCAAAGGUUUGAAGAACAUGGCCAUUUCUGCUCCUGCUUCUGAGCUCA